rnacentral:tRNA from 1 species
AGCAAGGUGGAGAAACGGCAUCUCGGGGGGCUCAUAACCCCCAGUUCCAGGUUCGAAUCCUGGCCUUGCAA